CUCUCUCUCUCUCUCUCUCUGUCUUUCUCAGUGCUCGCCUCUCCCCAGUUUAUCCUCAUCACCAUUUCACUGAAACACAGAACUCACCUUCUCCAUCUCCACCCUCCAUACACAAAUCUUCCAUUUUACCACGCCCCUGCUUCCACAGUGUUAUUAAACUGGCUAUUUUCUCUUAGGAAGAGAGCAUUUACUGGGAAAAUACACACUGACAUAUUAUUAUUUUUUAAUCAUUAUAUAAAUUCAUUCAUUUAAACAUUCAUUAAUUCUAAACCUAGUCCAAAAGUCUGCGUUGUGCACCAAGAACUAUUUCAUUAAUUAGUUUUCAAAAAUGUUUUAUAAAGUUAUAUAUUUUUCUAAAUAGUUUUUUUUAUUUGUAUAUUAGUGAAGAAUGAUGUAAUUUUGUUCAGGAAGCAUUAUUGCACAAAUUUGUAUAAAUCUGUAUAUUAAUUAUACAGAAUAAAAUUGACUGAGAAGAAACUUCUUCCUAGUGGACUCAGACUUUUAAACUGUAUCGUACUCUGUCCAUGACAACAAAUGGAGCAGGAAAAUACGUAGAGGAUGAAGUAGGAGAUGCCGGCUGAAAAGCAGACCACGCCCUUGCUGAAGAAGAAAGACACCACGCUGCAGAAGGGUGGCAUGGUGCUUAAGAUACCUCAGAUGGAUCUGAUAGCAGAGCAGGUAAAGCCACAGGUCAACAAUGGAGCCAUCGAGGACAACACAGACUGGAGAAAUUCUCCAUACUGGCGAACAGACAGCCGAAGACCAGCACAUCAGCAAGAAAAUUAACCUGCCUAUUACAACACAUGAAAACUAGAACUUCAUCUAAACAACUUGUAUGAGGCUUUGAUACUGAAUACACAUGCAGACAACAAAUCUUCAAAUACACCCACACAUCUGAUAUGCCUGUACACUCUAACUGUAUGUCCUCGGGUGUAAUUCUUUUCUUUUACUAGUUGUGUGGAGUUUUUUACCAGGACAUGUGUGAAUAGCCAAAUGUGCUAUGUUCUAUGCCAUUUAACACAUCUACAUAUAAUACCAGGAAAUAACAGCUGAAAUUCUAAACUCUCUUCUCAUAUUUAUCUUUUGCUCUCAAACUCAAAUACUUUCAGGAAGUCUACUUUUUGGAAAGUCAGUACUUUCAGAGAAGACUGUACAUAGUAUAUUUUAAUUUAAAAAUAAAUAAAUAAAUCUGUUUGUGAAUCCACAGAAGAAGCUGUAUGUGGAGUACCUCCGCUUGAGUGUUCAGGAUAUGGACUAAAGCAUUUGGGUUGAAAUCUACUGGAGUGAUAAAUGGAAAGAACAAUGAACAAGUGUUAGGAAGGAAAUCAGUAAAACACCACUAAACUUCCCUGCAUUAUAGAGGAGGAGAAAUAUAUUUAUCAACUGUUUUUCUCUCCUUAUAAUGCCAACACACUGUGUUGCUGAAGGUUACUAUUAGUUUACACACAACCAAGGUUGUGUGUACCAAGGCAUGCAUUGUUCAAUAUCUUGUAUGUACAGGCUUUCUACCAAAUAUACAGUACUUCACUACAACCGUACAGCAUUACACCAUGUGUUAAACCAAAGAUUUUUUCUUUGCCUUUAACAGGAUUGUCAUUCAUACUGUAACAGCUUAAAAUAUACACCUCACUGUGUCACUGUAUGUUUUUAAUUCAAUAACAAAAGAUACACAGACAAUUGUUUAGUUAUGCAAGUUUUACUAAGCAUAAAUUUGUAUACCUUUACCAUUUUACUUUUCCCUUAUUAUAAUAAUAAAGCAACAAUUUGAUUGGAUCUUUUAUGAAUCAUUUGUCUAGAUAACAAUCUGAGAGUUGGGACCAAAUUCCCGGAUACAGUCAUGCACUUCGGUACUAUAGAGGAGAGAGAACCGGGGGAUGGUUCCAAAAAUUGUCUGGACUUAGUCCUCUAGAUAGUAAGUGCUGGUGCAAAGUAAAAAGUUUCCGAAUUAAUGCUAUAUCCCAGACAAAGAAAGUUUUAGAAUUAGAUCAUGGUAAAUGUUUAUUGCUCAGUUUAGACAGGUAAUAAGAAAGCUGGAAAAUAACUCACCAGCUGGUAAAGGUUCAAGGUCACAGCAAUUCAAAUGUCUGAAAUGGUUUUUCUUCAGGGGUGCACGGUGGCUUAGUGGUUAACACAUUCGCCUCAAAACCUCCAGGCUCCAGGGUUCGAGUUUGCAUGUUCUCCCCGUGCUGCGGGGGUUUCCUCCGGCUACUCCGGUUUUUUCCCCCAGUCCAAAGACAUGCAAGGUAGGCUGAUUGGUGUGUCUAAAGUGUCCGUAGUGUAUGAAUGGGUGUGUGAGUGUGUAUGCGAUUGUGCCCUGCGAUGGACUGGCACCCUGUCCAGGGUGUACCCCAUCUCGUGCCUGAUGCUCCCUGGGAUAGGCUCCAGGUUCCCCCUGACCCUGAAUAGGAGUAAGCGGUAGAAGAUGGAUGGAUGGUUUUUCUUCAAUAGCUUCCUUCAUGUUUUUCAUACAGAGAUAAUAUUACAUAUUAUUUAGGAAGCCAAGGCCAAUGCUCUGGCUUCUACAGUUUUCGGUCCAUCUGUCCGUCCGUCCUCUCAGGUGUUUAUCUAAGUGAUCUCAAGAACGAGUGGUUGAA